rnacentral:miRNA from 1 species
AAACCCCGAAUGAACUUUUUGU